rnacentral:rRNA from 1 species
CUCCGGUUGAUCCUGCCGGACCCGACUGCUAUCAGAGUGGGACUAAGCCAUGCGAGUCAACGUAGCAAUACGUGGCAUACGGCUCAGUAACACGUAGUCAACAUGCCCAGGGGACGAGGAUAACCUCGGGAAACUGAGGAUAAACCUCGAUAGGCCAUGAUUUCUGGAAUGAUUCUUGGCUCAAACCUAUAUGGCCCCUGGAUUGGACUGCGGCCGAUCAGGCUGUUGGUGAGGUAAUGGCCCACCAAACCUAUUACCGGUACGGGCUCUGAGAGGAGGAGCCCGGAGAUGGGCACUGAGACAAGGGCCCAGGCCCUAUGGGGCGCAGCAGGCGCGAAACCUCUGCAAUAGGCGAAAGCUUGACAGGGUUACUCUGAGUGAUUUCCGCUAAGGGAAUCUUUUGGCACCUCUAAAAAUGGUGCAGAAUAAGGGGUGGGCAAGUCUGGUGUCAGCCGCCGCGGUAAUACCAGCACCCCGAGUGGUCGGGACGAUUAUUGGGCCUAAAGCAUCCGUAGCCGGUUCUGCAAGUCCCCCGUUAAAUCCAGCUGCUCAACAGAUGGGCCGCGGAGGAUACUACAGAGCUAGGAGGCAGGAGAGGCAAGCGGUACUCAGUGGGUAGGGGUAAAAUCCGUUGAUCCAUUGAAGACCACCAGUGGCGAAGGCGGCUUGCCAGAAUGCGCUCGACGGUGAGGGAUGAAAGCUGGGGGAGCAAACCGGAUUAGAUACCCGGGUAGUCCCAGCCGUAAACGAUGCAGACUCGGUGAUGGGUUGGCUUCGCGCUAACCCAGUGCCGCAGGGAAGCCGUUAAGUCUGCCGCCUGGGUAGUACGGUCGCAAGACUGAAACUUAAAGGAAUUGGCGGGGGAGCA